UGACAUCGAUUUACAUGGAUAACCGUGGUAAUUCUAGAGCUAAUACAUGCUGGUGUGCCCGACUUUUGCGGAAGGGCGGUAUUUAUUAGAUAACAAGCCAAUAUUCCUCUGGCCUAUUGUGGUGACUCAUAAUAACUGAUCGAAUCGCAAGGCCUGUGGCCGCGAUAAGUCAUUCAAGUUUCUGCCCCAUCAGCUUUCGAUGGUAGUGUAUUGGACUACCAUGGCGUUUACGGGUAACGGAGGAUUAGGGUUCGAUUCCGGAGAGGGAGCCUGAGAAACGGCUACCACAUCUAAGGAAGGCAGCAGGCGCGUAAAUUACCCAAUCCUGACUCAGGGAGGUAGUGACAAGAAAUAACGGACCGAGGCCCUCGGGCUUCGGGAUUGCAAUGAGCCGAAUUUACACCCCUUAGCGAGGAUCGAUUGGAGGGCAAGUCUGGUGCCAGCAGCCGCGGUAAUUCCAGCUCCAAUAGCGUAUAUUAAAGUUGUUGCAGUUAAAAAGCUCGUAGUUGGAUUUCUGGGAGGGUGCCAAUGUCCGCCGACGUGCGUGCGCAGCGGCGCCCUUCCAUCCUUCUGUUAACGCCUCUUGGCAUUCAUUUGCUGGUGGCGGGCUCAGAUAUUUUACCUUGAGAAAAUUAGAGUGUUUCAGGCAGGCUAGGCCGGAAUACAUUAGCAUGGAAUAAUGGAAUAGGACUACGGUCUCUUUGUUGGUUUGAGGGACUGCAGUAAUGAUUAAUAGGGAUAGUUGGGGGCAUUAGUAUUUAAUUGUCAGAGGUGGAAUUCUCGGAUUUGUUAAAGACUAACUUAUGCGAAAGCAUUUGCCAAGGAUGUUUUCAUUAAUCAAGAACGAAAGUUAGGGGAUCAAAGACGAUCAGAUACCGUCCUAGUCUUAACCAUAAACUAUGCCGACUCGGGAUCGGGGGCGCGAACUAUCCGCCUUCGGCACCGUAUGAGAAAUCAAAGUCUUUGGGUUCUGGG
rnacentral:rRNA from 1 species